rnacentral:tRNA from 1 species
AACCAUCGGCCGGGAAUCGAACCCGAGGCGCCCGCGUGGCAGGCGAGCAUUCUACCACUGAACCAAAGGCAAACGGU